rnacentral:rRNA from 1 species
CUCCAGACUCCUACGGGAGGCAGCAGUGGGGAAUAUUGCACAAUGGGGGAAACCCUGAUGCAGCGACGCCGCGUGAGCGAUGAAGUAUUUCGGUAUGUAAAGCUCUAUCAACAGGGAAGAAGAUGACGGUACCUGACUAAGAAGCCCCGGCUAACUACGUGCCAGCAGCCGCGGUAAUACGUAGGGGGCAAGCGUUAUCCGGAUUUACUGGGUGUAAAGGGAGCGUAGACGGCGAUGCAAGCCAGAUGUGAAAGCCCGGGGCUCAACCCCGGGACUGCAUUUGGAACUGUGUGGCUGGAGUGUCGGAGAGGCAGGCGGAAUUCCUAGUGUAGCGGUGAAAUGCGUAGAUAUUAGGGGGAACACCAGUGGCGAAGGCGGCCUGCUGGACGAUGACUGACGUUGAGGCUCGAAAGCGUGGGGAGCAAACAGGAUUAGAUACCCUGGUAAC